AUAGCAAGGCUUGGGACAACCAAGAACUAAGGUGAGUGAAAAUUCAGCAAGAUAAUUUCACACAAGAUAAUAUUCUGAAAGUACCUACUUCUUAAGUUUACAAUAAGGAUUAUGCUAAGCACCCGCUUAAUUAUACAUGCUUGUUUACAGCAUACUUCUGCUUACAAAGAUUUUAUUUUAAUUUUCUCUAGUAAUAAAAUGGUUUUCUUUUCACUAAAUAUGAGAGAAUUGAGUAUUUACAGACCUUCAUUAAAAUACCGAGUACAACGAGUCAUAAAACUUUGAGAGUCCUUGCUCGACCAACAAACAGGAGGAGAUCAUGUACAACACGAAAACCUUGACACUCAUCGCAAAUAGGUUUGAAGAUACGAGGAUAUGAGGAAGUAUAUUCUGCAUGUCAAGCAACUUUCCAACUUUCAUGACAAUGUUUCAUGCUCCUCACUCUUCACGAGAAUCCAGUUGCCUUUGGAGGCAUUUUUCUUCCUGGCAUGUGAAAUAAACCCAAGAAUAUAACCCAUAAAAGCCCCAAGCACAAGGAAACUCGCAACCUUGACAUACUUUGUGAAUGUGGAGUCCACCACCACUUCAAACCUGGCUCCAGCAACAUUGCUAACACCAUCACUACCACUGUGAACUUGGCCUGAUGCCAAAAUUUCCACCAUAUCAUGCACCUCUCCAUCAUGGUUCCCUACAUAAGAAAGUGUCAGCUUCUCCUUUGUGGCAACCAGUCUAGCGUACCCAAACUCACCCCCACGGUACAUGGACCGCUCAGGUUGUGGAAAGACAGGCAUAUCUGGAUGGUCAGGUCUGGGUUUCCAAAUAGACUGCCAGUCUUGUCCUGCCAUCCCAAUUACAACAUGAACUGGAUAUCUCUUCCAAGUGCUUCCACAUGUGAAGUUAUUCACUGGACAAAACCUCUCGUAUCUGUGUACAUGACCCCACAACGCAAGGGUAACAUUAUUUUUCACAAACAAGGGUUCCAAGUGCUUAAGCAUUUUCUUCAUCAAUGGGGCAUCCCUGUUCUCAUAGCUUGUAGUGUACAUUGGCCUGUGCCCUUGGACAAUCACAAAAGGGGUCUUGCUCCGAUUAACUGAUUCUAAAUCAUGCUUUAUAAAGUUAUACUGGCUGCUCCCAGGAAGGAAAUUGGUCUCAGUUGAUAUGUACAUAAAAUGUACAGCCCCUGUAUCAAAUGAAUAGUAUAGGUUUCGAGUGGCAGGGGCACGGGUUCCAGUUGGCUCUGAAGAGUUUCCAGGCAUAUUAAAUUUAAGGCUGUACGGAACUCCACAUUCACCACCCCCAUCAGUUCCAUAAAUUGAAUAGGACCAAUCAGGUUUCCACGGUUGUAGAGGCCAAUCAUAUUCAUGGUUACCAAUGCACACAUGGUAUGGUACUUUGGAUGCAACAGAUUCAAUUUGAGUGAAAAAAUGGUCCCACAACCAUGAGUAGCCUCUUGCAUAGCUAAUAUCUCCUAUGUGAGAAAUGAAAGCAUGCUUGUCACCAAUAUCUUCUAUGUCACGAAGGAUCCAUUUCAUGGUUGAUAUGCUUUCAUCUUGUGUUCGAUGGAAGGUUGCAUAUGGCGUUGCAGUUCCCAUAUCUCCAAACAGGAAAGCUAUUGUUUCAUCUGAGUUUCCAUUCCGUGACACAAAGCUCUGAGUUGCACUCCAACCUUUAGAGUCGCUUCCAACCUGUCAUAACAAAGUUGUGCUAACUCAGAUAGUGGACAAGUAAGCUUAAUUGCCGCAGUGAAAUUUGCCAUGGGCUGCAUGAGCAAGAAAUGGAUUAUGUUGCUCUCAUCCUCGCAUUAACAUGAAGUGAUAGAGAACAAAUCAGGUCAACACAAAUUGCAAUGCAACUGGACAUACUAAAAGAGCCUAUCUAGAUAAGGCUUUUAAUAAUUGAUGAAUCAAAGUUUCCUCAGAUGAUUCGUUCCUUUGUUUGUGGGAAAGAACAGAAAAAGGAACACGAUAUAAGAUUAAAACAAGUUAUCAAGUAAAACCACUUUCAGUUUUAAAUGAGAACAACAUCCAAUCAUACCACAAAAUACAAGUUAACUUCAAAAUUAAAUUGAUUUAAACACAGGAACAGAGUAUGAACUAGCUUAAGCUGAAAAGCAGAUGACUUCCCAUGAAAACUUAUGCUUCUAACCAAUUCCAAGUCUCAGAAGGCAUUGUCAUCAAAGAAUCCUCAAAAGGAACAAUUCAUAGUGAAACAGCAAAACAAAAGUUGAAAAAGAAUUGCUCCAUAAACAAGUCAUAAUUGCAGAGUUUUAAUCUACCAAAACCCAGUUAGGUGUGGCACGGCAAUUGAUCAAAGGCAGCUGAGAUUAAUAAAAACAGCUACAGAAUCGAAUAAUUCUUAGCAAAAUAUGAAUUUUGAAUUAUUACCAUGUAUAAAAGGAAAAACCCAGUUGAAAUCACCAUACGCAAUUACCUGGUAAUAAUAUCUAACACCAUCCUUCAAAUUUGUCAUGACAGCAUCAUGGAUCCACCCAGGAUCUCUCCACCCAAUACUCCCAUUAGCCGGAGCAUCACACAUGUCCUCCCUUUCAUACCUCACCACACGUGCCACUGUUACGUGACUCCACUCUCCAUCACCCUGCCCCCAUUUCACCUUCCUCUCUUCCUUGUCACCCACCACGAACAUUACCCGCAUCUCAUCUUCCGAGUCCGUGUAAGCCAAGUGGAUCUGUUCUGGUCCAUGACCCGCCUCGAACCCAACCUCCUCAGAUUGAGCAAGCAAAUGGGCCGUCCCGGGAAGAGGGUUCUGGUCAUGAUCGUGGCGUUUUGGGUUGAUCUCGCCUUCGGUCCAGUGGAAGAUCCGGAAUGAAUAGUUUGAGCGGAGGUUGGUAAUGGGUAGGGAUAUGGAGCCCGACCCGGAUUCCCAUGAGGGCGAGGAAGAGAGGAAUUUAUAGCCAAUGAAAUGGUCGUUACGCGAGUCAGGGGGCGAGUAGAGGCCAAGCCAAUCUAGUUUGGAGGGCGAAUCAACAUUGGACCAGGAGACGGUGACGGUAUCGCCAGAUUUGGAGAGGAUGGUAGGUGUGACGGAAAUUUUGACUUUGGCGAGAGAGGAAGAGGUGAGAAGAGAGAAGAGGAGGAGAAGUAGAGGGAUUUUCAUGGUGAGAGAUAGUGAACAAUUUGAUAGUGGUGGAAGAGGCGGAGAAGG
rnacentral:misc_RNA from 1 species